CUCUUAUCCAGAGUGGCGGAGGGACUGGCCCUGCGAAGCCCGGCAACCAUCAAACCAUAUGUUAGUCAGUGAGUUUGAACGGUGCUAAUUCCUGUGAAAUACGAUUGUAUUUUAACAGAUGAGAG
rnacentral:ncRNA from 2 species